AUCUGUUAUGUGUUUGUGUAGGUCACACACUAUGGUCCGUCUACUCUGUCUCUGGAGCUAUCUAUAAUGGUGAGAGCAAGAGCUGAGGAGAUAGAGGAAUCCUCUACUGCCAGACUAGAUAGAAUGGAAAGGUUGAUCUAGGAUAUGGCAUAAACAUUGAGGCAACAGCAACAAUGGCAACAACAGUGGCAACAACCGCCACCCCCACCCCCAGUGCAACCUGUACAAGAUUUGCAAAAUGAUAAUUGAACAAUAGUUCUUACCAAGGAGUUUAAGAAGAUGAAACUGCUGACAUUCCACAGGAAAGUUGCGUUCUUGGCAUAGAAAAGCUAUUUGAAGUAUUUCCAUGACUCGAAGCACAAAAAGUACAGUUGGCAACAUUUACACUUGAAGAUGAGACGAGGAGGUAGUGGAUGUUAAUCCGUGAAAAUAACAAGGGUAUUGAUUGGAGAUCUUCUACGACAAGUACUUUCCACAAUGUGCCCCAUGAUAGAAAAUUGGCUGAAUUUGAGGGAUUUAAACAAGGCAACUUGACUGUAGCUGAAUACGAAGCAAAGUUUAUUGAAUUGGCCCGGUUUGCACUGCAUAUGGUUGACAUCGACUAUAAAAUGGCAAGAAAAUUUGAGGGCGGUCUCUGUAAUGAUAUUUAGGAAGUAGUCAAUGUGUUGAAACUACCUACUUAUGUUGAUGUAUUGGAUCGGGCUUUAAUGUUAGAAACUAACAUGGUUCAGGUACUACCUCUAUAUGUAAUCAAGAUGUUUUUGUGUUAAUUGAUUCCGGAUCCACACAUUCUUUUGUGUC